rnacentral:misc_RNA from 1 species
AUGAUUGCGAAUUGUUGCCUUCAGUGCUGGCUCUCAAGAGCAAGUGCACGUUGGUGGCUUUUCAUCUACUACCACACCCUUGUGAACCAUGAGCCUCUUGCUAGCUUCGGCUGGCAGAGGAUUUUUACACAUAUACUCGAAUGUAAUGAAAACUAUUGUUGUGUGCAAGCACUACUAUA